rnacentral:rRNA from 1 species
AGAGUUUGAUCCUGGCUCAGGACGAACGUUGGCGGUGCGCUUAAUGCAUGCAAGUCGAGGGAGAGGCGUUUGUUCCGUAAGGUCCAGACGUGGAAACCGGCGAACGGGUGAGUAACACGUGAGAAACCUGCCUCUUAGAUCGGGAUAGCCCGAGGAAACUCGGAUUAAUACCGAAUACUCUCCUUGGACCACAUGGUCCGUUGAGGAAACAGUCCGCUGCUAAGAGAUGGUCUCGCGGCCUAUCAGCUUGUUGGUGAGGUAACGGCUCACUAAGGCUAAGACGGGUAGCUGGUCUGAGAGGACGAUCAGCCACACUGGAACUGAGACACGGUCCAGACUCCUACGGGAGGCAGCAGCAGGGAAUAUUGCACAAUGGGCGAAAGCCUGAUGCAGCGACACCGCGUGCGGGAUGACGGCCUUAGGGUUGUAAACCGCUUUCAGGAGGGAAGAAAAUGACGGUACCUCCAGAAGAAGCUCCGGCCAACUACGUGCCAGCAGCCGCGGUAAUACGUAGGGAGCAAACGUUGUCCGGAUUUAUUGGGCGUAAAGGGCUCGUAGGCGGUUCAACAAGUCGGUCGUGAAAGCCCGGAGCUCAACUCCGGGAUGCCGGUCGAAACUGUUGUGACUAGAGUUCGGUAGAGGUGAGUGGAAUUCUCGGUGUAGCGGUGGAAUGCGCAGAUAUCGAGAGGAACACCAUUAGCGAAGGCGGCUCACUGGGCCGAUACUGACGCUGAGGAGCGAAAGCAUGGGGAGCAAACAGGAUUAGAUACCCUGGUAGUCCAUGCCGUAAACGAUGAACACUAGGUGUAGCGGAUUUAUUCACAUUUGCUGCGCCGUAGCUAACGCAUUAAGUGUUCCGCCUGGGGAGUACGGCCGCAAGGCUAAAACUCAAAGGAAUUGACGG